rnacentral:rRNA from 1 species
GUACGGCGAGUGANAGGAAGAGCUCAAAGUUGGAACCUGUUUGGCCUAGCUAAACCGGAUUGUAGACUGUAGAAGUGUUUUCCAGGCAAGCCGAGUAAAUAAGUCCUUUGGAACAGGGCAUCAUAGAGGGUGAGAAUCCCGUCUUUGGCUUGAGCAUUUGCCUUUUGUGAUACGCUUUCAAAGAGUCAGGUUGUUUGGGAAUGCAGCCUAAAUUGGGUGGUAAAUCUCACCUAAAGCUAAAUAUUGGCGAGAAACCGAUAGCGAACAAGUACCGUGAGGGAAAGAUGAAAAGAACUUUGAAAAGAGAGUUAAACAGUAUGUGAAAUUGUUAAAAGGGAACCGUUUGGAGCCAGACUGGNUUGUCUGUAAUCAAUCUAGGCUUCGGCCUGGAUGCACUUGCAGGCUAUGCCUGCCAACGACAAUUUGACUUGAGGGAAAAAACUAGGGGAAAUGUGGCCCACUUGUGGGUGUUAUAGUCCCUUAGAAAAUACCUUGGGUUGGAUUGAGGAACGCAGCGAAUGCUUAUUGGCGAGUUUUCCAGGAAGGUUUUCUGAGGUACUACGGUAUCAAGGUUGAUCUUUUUGGUUAUACUUCUAUUCGCUUAGGUUGUUGGCUUAAUGACUCUAAAUGACCCGUCUUGAA